UCUGUGAAGAAUGAUCGAGACGUGUCUAUCUCGUGGUAUAAAGGGAGUGAAAUAGUGAAUCAGAACAGUAAUCCUGAUCUCAGCAUCAACCUAAGUUUACCAUUAGAGCUUCAUUAUAAUGAUCCAGAGACCUACAGCUGCACGGCUGUGAAUCCAGUGAGCAAUAAGAGCGUCCGUCUUCACAAGAAACAGAUCUGCCCACCACAGGAAGAUUGUCUGGAUCACUGUGGCGUCACUGAGGCUCUGGUUCGUCUGGUUCUGUCUGGUCUGGUGGGAAUCACUGCUGUUGGAUUUCUUAUUGAACAUUUGAGGUUCUGCUCAUCUCAGAGAAGAGCUGCUGCUUCUGUGUGAUGAUGAUACUUCUGUGAGAUUCUGAGUAAUUACCAUUUUCACUCUUAAAAUAUAUAUUUUGGUUCUGCUGUGAACCAGUUUUUAUUAAACAAUAACAACAAAUAAGUUCUGUAAAAUGUACAGUAGUAGAAAUAUUUUAGAUUAUACUCUGAAAAAAACAAAAGGAAUUUCUAUUAUAACAAAGAGGCUUAUUCCUAUGUGGCCUGCUGUAUAAAAAAUAUAUUAUUUAAUUUGACAAUGAAACAAAUGAAAGUAAUUUUAAGAGUCAUGGUAGAAAUAGUUCCUUGACUGAAUGGUUAACCAGUGUUUAACUGGUAACUAGUGCCUAUAUUGUGUGCAUAUAUAGUGUGCAUACCAUUGCUGCACUUUUUUGUUGUUAGACAAUAUACACAAAAUGUUUUUAUACUUGUAUUUUAUUUUAUUUUUUGCACAUUUUGUGUGUGGGGAUUUAGAAUGUUAGAACUAGAACUAGUUUACAAAAUGUAGCUUUUUCCUGUUUUAAUUAGCAAAUCUUACAGCUAAUGAUAAUUAGGGACACCAAUAUGAAAUCUGAUCAUUUCUUUAAUGAGAUGCAAAGUCUUUUCUCUGUAUGUCUACUUUCUGUUGUUACAUCACAAGAAUCAGUUUAGCCAACACACAAGUUUGUAACAGAAAGGAAAGCAUUUAAGAUGAUACAAAACUUUUUUUAUUUAAUCUUUCAACUGUUUUGGUUCUGCUUCCAUCUUUCAAUCCAAUCAACUGAUAAUUCUGCAUAACCAGUUUUACUCUGAAGACAUUUUUUUGUAUGAUUAUGCAGAUUUUAAGAAAUACACUGUUGUAAAUCUAUUUAUUCAGAGAAGAUUAACAAAAUGUACAGUCUUCAGUAACACUGGAAUAUAUUUUAAACAAUAAAAUAAAUACAAACAAUACAAAUAAUCAACAGAAUGCACAGACGAUAUAAAAUCGUAUAAUGCUGCUCACAAUUCAUACAGGAACAACAAAUAAACUAAAAAAAAGUGCGAAAACCAUCUUGGUCCAAAACCAACAGCUUAUAUCAACAAUUAA